UUGAGCUCUCCUCUAAUAUCCUAAACCCUCUCUAGCAACUUGGAAACACGUUGGAUAUCAUUUAUUCUCUGGCCUCCACCUCUUCCGUCUUCCGCUCUUGCGCCCGCCACAUCCUCUCCUUCCUCCCUUCUUUCCACCUUUUUGUAACUAUAACUACCCUUAACCCUCUAAUCUUUAUUUCCCUAACUAACUAACUAACACUCCUUUUCUCUUUCUCUCAUAGAACGUUGCCCCUUUCGCUGAGUUCCUCUGACCCUUGCUUCUACCCAAUCCCUACCUCACCGCUUUUAAGCUCGAUUAUGCUCGCCUCGAUGAUUUCGCCAUCGCCUUCAUGCUUAAAUCCUCCCUGCACGACCUCUCUCUCCACUCUUAAUCCAGUUACUAAUACUUCCGGAAAAAGGCUUCUGGUGAUAUUGGGAAUGUUUUUUCAAAUGGUAUACAUUCAAACAAUGUGACAACUUCUAAAGCGCUUAAGCAGGAUGAAGAUAGACAGGAAUUACAGGGCGGAGACAGUUCAGAAUCUGGUGAACACCACAGGGAAGCUAAUACCACUAUCAUAUCAAGUACCCCGACAACUGCUGGGCCAUUGCAAUGUGUUUGAUAAAAUGCCUGAAAAGGAAUAGGUACCUUUUCUUCCGGUCGCUAUGCUUUUGUUUUGCUUGCUUGGAAAGUGACUAUUAGUUUCGGCAUAAUGGGUCUUAAACUUUUUGAGCUACUUUACACUAGAAAACAUUUUAUUAGAACCAACAAGUCUUCAACUUUUUUCUUCAACUCCACAUUUUAUCACUCUUCAAAAGACGCUCUCAACUUGCAAUGGUAUCAGGAUGAGUUUCCCAAGGUGAAAGAGUUGACCGAUUUGCUAGCAAAUGUGGAUACAGUUAACGGGAGACUUGUUGAUGUAAACAACAAUACAACCUUAUUUGAUAAUGACAUUGAACGUGAAAUGUGUACCUUCAAGUCUCUUGUCCAUGUGUUUGUUGGGUCUCCAUUUGUUCAGUACACGAUGAAACAUGUUUUGGCCUCUUUCACCACAAGCACACAACAUGAAUCAUUUACCCCUUUUAGUAAAGCAAUUGAAACUUGAAAGAGAGCCUAUGGUGGUUGAUUCACUGACCAAAGUGGGCAACUUUCUCAAUGUCUCUGCUCAAUAAAGGAAUUUGGUUUGUUUAAGAGUGUGCCCACAGGUUACUCAGCAUUGCAUAUGGACUGGUGCACUAAAAGAAGUUUUGAAUGGUUUUGCAGUAGAUUUCAAUUGUUUGAGUUCUCGGGGCUUAAACAAUGGUGCUUUAUUGGGUGGCCAAAUUGUUCAAAGCUGCUUGAAGUUUCUUACUGCAAUUUCUAUCUAUUUGGACCCUGAGUCAUCUUCUUGGCUGAAGCUUUCUCUUUCUAAAAUAGUUGAUUGCUAUGAUCCUCGAAAAUGGGAAGAUGUUCUUGUAAUGUUCAAUGAUCUAACUGAAUGUUGUAGAAGUGAAAAUAUGUUGAAGUUGCAUGUGGCUAAGGAUGAGGUCAUGAAGGAGGGCCUUUUUCACAUUAGGGAUGUUUUAGUUGACAAAGUAUUGGAUAUAAGGAAGCUCAACAUCAAGAAAGCCUAGUGAAGAAGAAGCUUUCCAAAAUGUUGGGUCAUUCGUCUCUUUGCUUAUUCACUCUAUUAUUGUAUUGCCUCUAUGGGAGGGUUGUAGAUAUCAAAAUAGACAUGUGUGGUGGGGUCUAUGCAGAUGGAAGUGAUGAUAAGUUUUGGUUGUUUAUGGGAAGGAUCUUGACUUCAGAUAGUGAGAAGGCGGUGGGGUGUGGUGUGAAGCAGUUGGACUGAGCGCUUGGGAUUUUUAAGUUUGUGUGGGAAAUGGCUGGAAUAAAAGUACAUUUAGAUUUGUAGGGCCAUAUGUGGUGUGUUGGAGUAGACAAUAAGUUGCUUAGGUAUAGAGGAAACACGUACUUCGUGCAUGGAAUUUGCCUUUGAUUAGAGAUUGUGUCACUAUAUCUUUUAAUCCCACUCCUUGGUGCUAAAAUGUCACCACUUACUAUUUAUAUAAUAUUUUUGUUGCCUAUGGUUUUAGUUUGUAUGGUUUUACAAUUUUAAAUUACCAACAUCUUAAAUUGAUUUUGUUUUUGUUUUUCUUUUGGAGCUUGGACUUUUGCAACUACAAGUACAGACUUCCUGAAGAUCUAGCUGUGAAAGAAAAAAAAAUCCAAUUCCAGAACCUCAGGUUUGAAAUUGUAAAAUUCUAAACAAAUUAAUUUGGCUUCAAUAACUUGAAAUUCCAAAAUUGAAGUAAAAAAAAAAUAAAUCAUUGUUUGACAGUGCAUGACUUCAAUUCCUGAAAGGUAAGUCUUUUUUUAUCAGUAUGCAACUUACUAAUGUCACAAAGCUAAUGAUAACUUUAUGUUAUUUGCAUCAACUAUCAACUAACAAGUGGUUAAUUUGCCAACGAAGAUGAUUGUGCAAAUCUAGGAUGAAAGAUACUAGUAAGUAGCAACACACUUUCUACUUCUGUUAUUUGAGAUUCAUUGGUGGCUCCCAAUCUUUAUUAAGCGAGUUUCACUUUCACAUCAAUUUAAAUUAAAAUAAUUAAUAUGUUUGUAAUUUUCUCAAUCUGGGGUAAGUUAAACUUAUUUCCUAAUAUGAUUUUAUUUCAAUUUAUUAUUUGCAACUUGAAAAAAUAUGUUUAACAAAGUUAUAUAUGACUCUAGCCUUUCACUUUACCAUUUUUUUUCAACAGUUGGCAACAGAAAAUUUGUCUACGCUAACAACUAAGGAAAGACUAGGAUCACACUCAACGUAUUGUAGAAUACCAAGUAAAAUCUUGGAAAAGAGGUAAAUCACCGUGGAUCAGUGUCCAUCUCUCAUUUAUGGUGGUUAUAUUUGAUUUUUUUAUCUUCUUUUCUGAAUAAACACUGCUGCAUACACUACACACAAACUACAAGUCAUUAGAGAAUAGUUUUAGAUACUAUAGAGUAAUUUUUAAACAGCUUAUCUUCAAAUAAAUGUACAAUUAGAUGUUAUUUCUGUUGCCUCUCUCUUUGAAAGUAUCUGUCUAUUCCAAUUGCUCCUAGAAGGUUUUACCUUGCUACUGUUUAUUAACUUGGUAUUCAAGAACUAAUUUGUAUUGAAGAAAACUUUUGUAGAUCAAAUCAGUAAUAUCUUUUAGGGACCAAAUUGUACUUUCUUUCCAUUCCAUAAACAAUAAGUUCGUACAUCGCCCGCCUGUAUGCUAGACACUCCUUUCUGUUUUAAAUAAGAUUUUUAACAUAACUAGAACCUACAGGGUCACACUCAGAAAGAAAUUUAGAGGAGAAAAGAAAGAUUAAGUGAGAGUGUAAUGUUUCUUAUGGAUUGUGCUCAUAAUGGUGAGACUCAUCAAAAUAAUGAGAAAAAAUAAGAUAAGUUUUUCUCAUGAGUUAACGUAAGGGGUCCAAGAUUGUUGUGUUGAAGUG